GAACGCUGGCGGCGUGCUUAACACAUGCAAGUCGAACGAUGAACCGCUUCGGUGGGGAUUAGUGGCGAACGGGUGAGUAACACGUGGGCAAUCUGCCCUUCACUCCGGGACAAGCCCUGGAAACGGGGUCUAAUACCGGAUAGCACUCCUGCAGGCAUCUGUGGGGGUUGAAAGCUCCGGCGGUGGAGGAUGGGCCCGCGGCCUAUCAGCUUGUUGGUGAGGUAACGGCUCACCAAGGCGACGACGGGUAGCCGGCCUGAGAGGGCGACCGGCCACACUGGGACUGAGACACGGCCCAGACUCCUACGGGAGGCAGCAGUGGGGAAUAUUGCACAAUGGGCGCAAGCCUGAUGCAGCGACGCCGCGUGAGGGAUGACGGCCUUCGGGUUGUAAACCUCUUUCAGCAGGGAAGAAGCGUGAGUGACGGUACCUGCAGAAGAAGCGCCGGCUAACUACGUGCCAGCAGCCGCGGUAAUACGUAGGGCGCAAGCGUUGUCCGGAAUUAUUGGGCGUAAAGAGCUCGUAGGCGG
rnacentral:rRNA from 1 species